UGUGUGUGCGCUCAAAACAUAGGUCACACUACAGUUGUAAAUGAAAAAAAAAUUCUAUCAAUGCUCCUAGAAUUGACUGGUCCUGGUCUAAUAUGAUGUAAUUGUCAGUUAAACACAAAUACAAAUACCUUUAUUAUUUGUAUUGCCAUUGCAGGGAUUCCUCAAGGUUGGAGUCGUUUUGGUUCCAGUGUUUACUACAUUUCAACCAGCCUGAAAACCUGGAACGACAGCAAACAGCACUGCAUGAAUCUAGGGGGGGAUCUGGUGAUCAUUGACAGUGAGGAGGAACAGAAAUUCAUCUCAGGAUUUCAGAAGAGAGUUUGGAUUGGUGCUGUGAAGACAGACGGAGCCUGGAAAUGGGUAGAUGGCAAAGUCCUGGGUAAUGCAGGGUACUGGGCUGAGGGAGAACCCAAUUACUUGGAUGGAGGAGAAAACUGUGUAGAGAUGAUACAUAUAUUUGACCCUCUGAGAAGC